rnacentral:rRNA from 1 species
UACAGAGGGGGCAAGCGUUGUUCGGAAUUACUGGGCGUAAAGGGCUCGUAGGCGGCCAACUAAGUCAGACGUGAAAUCCCCAGGCUCAACCUGGGAACUGCGUCUGAUACUGGAUGGCUUGAAUCCGGGAGAGGGAUGCAGAAUUCCAGGUGUAGCGGUGAAAUGCGUAGAUAUCUGGAGGAACACCGGUGGCGAAGGCGGCAUCCUGGACCAAUAUUGACGCUGAGGAGCGAAAGCCAGGGGAGCAAACGGG